rnacentral:lncRNA from 1 species
CCUCCUCCCUGCCCUGCUGCACAGAGACACUGGUAAUAAUGACAACAACACACAGAGAAAGACUUUAUACUGUAAGGGAGAGAAAGAGAGAGAAAACCAACAUCCACAAGCCGAAAAUAAUGCAUACCGUUAAAUAUACCUGUUAUAACUCCAAGGGGAGCACCAUCUACCUAUCCACCACCAAAACUGACAGCCGAGCAAGCAACUUCUUUCUCUCCACCCCAUCGCUGGAUUGUUCCUUCCACUCUUGCUCAUCGUAUAAAACAAUUUAUCUGCUACAGUAAAGGAAAGACAGGACACAUCUCAGUACUAUCCAUGGUGAUAUAUCAAAAAGUCAUGGCAGCAUGAUCAAAGCCCCACCUCUUUUAUAUAGUACUGUCAUCAUCUGGAUUUUUUAACCUCCUUCACAGGUGCCAAUGGUAGUUCCCUACAACUUCUCAACAACUAUGGUAUAUCUGUAUAGCAUUAAUAUCUUUGUCUUAGGUUUUUGCAUGUUUUUAUAGGAAAAUGAUGUAUAAUAGUUUGUGUUCUUAACCAGCGUUCCCUGUUAUUAUAAUGGGAUGGAUUGUUGUUUAGACUGCUUCUUACCUACAGUGUAACCAUCAAAUAGAUUUCUAAGUACAUAAAAAUCACAGUUUGGUUCAUAAGGGUAUGCAAAAGAAGUUACUAUUCUUGAGAAGUAGAUAAGAACAAAAGUUUAUAAAUGUUUAUUAAUUUGCAGUUAUACUAUUUUACUUAUGACAUAUUGUAAUUCAUUGAAUUUACAUUACAUUAAGUCAGAAUUUUUAGACAUGAUUUUUUG